UCCUCCUCCUCCCCGCCGGGGUGAAACUCGAGCGCCCCACCCGCGCCUGACCUCCCCGAGCCCCUCCCCGGGCCCCGCCCCUUCCCGGUACAGGACCCCCACCUUCGCUCCUGGGAGCCCCGCUGCACCCCAGGAGUUCCAUUCCAGCCUCCCCAGUGCGAGUGCGGCCGAGCGCUGACUUUUGGGGGCUCCCUCCCCCGUCUCACUGGGUCCCUCUGCGGCUCCCCCGCCCGCUGUCCCGGUUCAGACGUGGCUGCACCCCGGAGGGGGGCGCCGGCCGAGACCUGAGACGUGGCGCUCCCUCUCUGCCGGCCUCGGCUUCAGGUACGUGCGGUUCCCUCGGCUAAAUCUGGCCCGGGGGAUGGGGGGCAGGGGCCGUCUGGUCCUCCGGAACUCGAACUUUGUGAUUUUGUUCUUUCUGUGUGACAUCCUCAUCCGUUCUGAGGGAGAAACUCCUUAAAGAAGACGAGAGAGUCAGUCGUUGCGGGUUCUUGGAGGAGCACUUUGGGGUGCUUGAAUUUCAGCCACAUCCCUAAGCUGCCAUCUCAGACCAGAGGAACAGGGAGGGGGGCUUUCUGGAAAGAACAUCACCUGGAAGAAAUCAGGACAUGACUGUGGGCCAUGAGUGACCUUCAAAGGAAAGCCGGGUAUCUGUGGUCUUUAAGAUGUGGUAAGAUUGUAUUAAAAUUAUAGAAAAAAACCUCAAUCCAGAAAUCGUGGCCUCUUGACAUUUACAUCUUAACUGCAUUUUCCUACCAAUGAGAUGCAUUACAAUCAUCCUCCAUAAGUGUUCUCUUUUUACCCCUGUUUCCAUUCUUUUAGAUCCAUGACAUUUAAAAACUGAAGAAAUGGAAAGAUCAUCUGAUCAGGCCCAUCAGUCUUUUUCCUAAUGCUAAACAUUGGUACAAAGACGUGAAGUUUGAUGUCUCACUAAGAUUGCCUAGGGCUGCUUUAUUGCUCACCUACUUCAAAGUAUUGGGAAAACAUGAUUAUGGGUACAGGUGAUGCUGUGUUGCCCCCAGACAGGUUUCUUUUGUCAGGUUCUUUUGAUGGAUUAGGAACCUACAAGUGGGGAGAUUUUAGGGAAAUAGCCCCUCCACUUGGAUUUCACCAAAACGUCUUUAGGGUUCUCUUACCCCAAGAAACACGCAUUCCUCUUUAGUGUGGCAGCCCACUCUAUUGGCAAAGUUAAGCAGACCAGUUUUACUAAAAAGGAGCCACCCAGAAACUUAGACAGAAAAUACUUGAGGCACAGAUGAGAAUGAGCACAAAUGUGCAUAGCAAGUGCAGUUUCCUGGCCCUUAAACUGAAGGGCCAGGUCAGUCUGCUCCUCCAGGCACAGCCUGGGACCCCAUCAUGUGCCCCACUCUGCAGUCUGAGCUUCCACUCAAGUCCACCAGGGCCUGCCUCACAUAUAUAUACAAGACCCAAUGUCAGAGUCUGCCUCUGCCCAUGUCUGGUCAGAGGGUUGCACUUUGCCACUGCUACAUGUUCCCAGAGGUUGGCACAGCAUGACCUGGACCUCACCUAACCCAGGCAAACUCUGCUCAUCUUCGAGCUCUCUGGAACCCAUUUCUCAAGGGAGAACCACAUUCCCCCACCUCACAGCCAAGUUCAAGGAAGCAGCCUGGCUAAAGCAAUGACUCAAGGAUACCAGAAGCAGAGCACGCAUUUAAGAAGAUGCGCUGACUCGCAGGAGCAGCUGACUCUUCUUAAGAAGAGUUUACUGAUUCUUCUUUCAGUACGGGCCUUUUAAUAAGAUAUUGUAUUUUACUUCAGCUAUGGGUGCAGACAAUUAAAGGAUUCUAGAAAUCUGAA
rnacentral:lncRNA from 1 species